GACGAACGCUGGCGGCGUGCUUAACACAUGCAAGUCGAGCGGUAAGGCCCUUCGGGGUACACGAGCGGCGAACGGGUGAGUAACACGUGGGUGACCUGCCUCUAGCUCUGGGAUAAGCCUGGGAAACUGGGUCUAAUACCGGAUAUGACCCCACGGCGCAUGUUGUGGGGUGGAAAGCCUUGUGUGGCUAGAGAUGGGCCCGCGGCCUAUCAGCUUGUUGGUGGGGUGANGGCCUACCAAGGCGACGACGGGUAGCCGGCCUGAGAGGGCGACCGGCCACACUGGGACUGAGACACGGCCCAGACUCCUACGGGAGGCAGCAGUGGGGAAUCUUGCGCAAUGGGCGAAAGCCUGACGCAGCGACGCCGCGUGA
rnacentral:rRNA from 1 species